CCUACGGGAGGCAGCAGUGGGGAAUUUUGGACAAUGGGCGCAAGCCUGAUCCAGCAAUGCCGCGUGCAGGAUGAAGGCCUUCGGGUUGUAAACUGCUUUUGUACGGAGCGAAAAGGCUCUCUCUAAUACAGGGGGCUCAUGACGGUACCGUAAGAAUAAGCACCGGCUAACUACGUGCCAGCAGCCGCGGUAAUA
rnacentral:rRNA from 1 species